rnacentral:tRNA from 1 species
AGCCCUGUGGUGUAGCGGUCAAGCAUCAUGGCCUUUGGAGCCAUGGACGGCGGUUCGAAUCCGCCCGGGGCUA